GCUGGAGGAAAAUUUAAGUGACAAACGUAGCAAUGUCUAUCAUGGGGGAAAACAGUUAUUUACGUCUGUUACAAAAUAUUGACACAUGAACAUCACACGUGUAAAAAUUUCGGAAUACAUCUUUAUUUGUCUAUUGAAUUGAAGAAAGGAUAUUUCGUCUUUUGUGUUUACUUUCAUAUCUGCAAUUUUGAUAAUAGAAUUUUCUUUUUAAAAACAAUAUCAUGUAAUUUGCUGAGUAAGACAUAUUCCUGUU
rnacentral:lncRNA from 1 species